GGGGGGCCUACGGGAGGCAGCAGUGGGGAAUAUUGGACAAUGGGCGAAAGCCUGAUCCAGCCAUGCCGCGUGUGUGAAGAAGGUCUUCGGAUUGUAAAGCACUUUAAGUUGGGAGGAAGGGCAUUAACCUAAUACGUUAGUAUUAUGACGGUACCGACAGAAUAAGCACCGG
rnacentral:rRNA from 1 species